rnacentral:tRNA from 1 species
GGGCUUGUGGCUCAGCGGCAGAGCCCUUGCCUUGCACGCAGGAGGCCCUGGGUUUGAUCCUCAGCACCA